rnacentral:rRNA from 1 species
GACGAACGCUGGCGGCGUGCUUAACACAUGCAAGUCGAACGGACAGGUCCUGCUUUUGUGGGGUGCUCGAGUGGCGAACGGGUGAGUAACACGUGAGUAACCUGCCCUUGACUUUGGGAUAACUUCAGGGAACUGGGGCUAAUACCGGAUAGGAGCUCCUGCUGCAUGGUGGGGGUUGGAAAGUUUCGGCGGUUGGGGAUGGACUCGCGGCUUAUCCGCUUGUUGGUGGGGUAGUGGCUUACCAAGGCUUUGACGGAUAGCCGGCCUGAGAGGGUGACCGGCGACAUUGGGACUGAGAUACGGACCAGAAUCCUACGGGAGGCAGCAGUGGGGAAUAUUGCACAAUGGGCGGAAGCCUGAUGCAGAAACGCCGCGUGCGGGAUGACGGCCUUCGGGUUGUAAACCGCUUUCGCCUGUGACGAAGCGUGAGUGACGGUAAUGGAUAAAGAAGCACCGGCUAACUACGUG